GCAAUUCGACAAGUUCCGUAGGCUUGUUCCCAAGAAUCAUCCUUAUAAGGAGUAUUUUGAGGAUAACAUGUUUGCUACCAAGUUUUUCUCGCAGAAUUUGGAGAGGGAAGGAGCACGUGCUAGGAGCUGAUGAGGGUUUGUGAUGAUUCUGGAGGCUUCUGCAAUGAGGUCCGAAUGAGUUUUUGUUCAUUUUCUGUUACUGCACUUUAGCCCUUCAGUUAAAUGCUUCCAGAUAGUAGUAGUAAACAUGGAGUUAAUGUAGGUGAUGAGUUUGUCCAGUUUUUCUUAGUUAUGGUGAUGAAAAUUGUUGUUGGAAUGGUUGGUUUAUUCUGGUGGAUAUAUAGUACUAGUGUUAAUGAAGAGAAGCUAUUUUGAUGCUGGAAAAUCAAACAGGUGCAUUGUUCCGGUAUCAUGUAAUUUGGAUUCUAAUCCGAGUUAAAUUUCUGCCUAAUAUAGUAGAUAGCUGGAUAGCUUUCCUAAGAAGCAAUUUUGAAAAAUAGUCAUUCAGUUGAUAAUUACAUAUUGUUUGUCUGCUGCACUUUGUUGAUGUUAUUAUUGUUGGAAAAUUUCGGAAUGGAUUGGAAAUGGAUAUUUUGUUGCAAUUUGCGUGUGUUUACAGUGAAGUUUUGGUUGUUGAAUGUUAUGCAAUCACAUUUUGACAUUGUUGGGAAAGUCUCAAUUAAUUCCAUUUUCUAUGGGACUACAAGUCUACAAGUACAACAAUAAGAUUAUAUCAUGUUAUACUAAUUCUUGUCUGGCACUCUAAUGAUGGCUCUACUAGCUUAAAUCUGAGUGGUGGAUAUAAACUUAUCUACUCUGCGACUUGUUAUAUCUGCCUCAAAAUUUUCCAUGCUGAAUAUUAUCAAAUAUACUGAAGAAUUUGUUCAUGUUUAUGAUAUAACUAGAAGCUUCCUCUCUUUUUUUUCUAAGUUCUCGUAUGUAUCUUUAAAAUUUUAUAAGUGUGUCUAUAGAAGUACACUUCCAUCAAUGUGAUAGAGUAAUAUGACUGUUUAGGCUAUUUGAUCUUUUGUCUAAAGGUAUCUUGUGUAAUUUCAUAGGAUAUAAUAUUUAAUUCUUGUCAUGAUUCAUUAGGUGAUGAACGCUGCUAUGGAUCUGUUUACAAGCAUUACCUGGUCUGGCUAAUUCAUCUGCUUCCUUGAAGGAAGUCUGAUAUUAGCCAGACAUAAAUAUUUUCUGAAGGUUCUCAGCUUCCAUGGUGAAUUUGCUGGUUUGUAACUGCAUUUAUAUUUCUAGUGAAAGCAGAUAUACAGAUAUGCCGGAUUUUUCAAAAUUUUAUGAUUACUACUUGAGUGAAUUUAGGUUGAAUUGAUUGGGCAGCUCCUUGUCCCUGCACUGAAAAAAGAAGACAAAAACAAAAAUGAAUAAUUAUAUGUUAAAAGAGUGUACUGAUAGUUUCACAACUACUAUGGAAGUAUGAAUUAAUUACAACUUCUGCAGAACUUAUGGCUUUAAACCUGCUUUGGUUGUCUGUUUUUUAUAUGUAAGCCUGCUUGUUUGUCUGAAUCUAUAGAUCUAGAUGACUUCCACAUGUAUUUUCUUAACCUGGCAUUAAUGCAUUAUCAAAUAUCAAUGCCUGUACCUGGGAUCUCUUACCCCUGGUUUAUUAUGUAUGAUCUUGUUCAAUGCCUAUUGUCAUUCUCACUUGUUGCUUGAAAACUGCAUAAGCAUGUCAGUCGAAGUGCACUUCCAUUGAUGUUAUAGACUUAUACUGCAAUUUGUC
rnacentral:lncRNA from 1 species